rnacentral:rRNA from 1 species
AUUGAACGCUGGCGGCAGGCCUAACACAUGCAAGUCGAGCGGGGGAGCAAUCCCUAGCGGCGGACGGGUUAGUAACGCGUGGGAACAUACCCUUUGGUACGGAAUAGCCUCGGGAAACUGAGAGUAAUACCCGUAUGUGCCCUUCGGGGGAAAGAUUUAUCGCCAAAGGAUUGGCCCGCGUUGGAUUAGCUAGUAGGUGAGGUAAUGGCUCACCUAGGCGACGAUCCGUAACUGGUCUGAGAGGAUGAUCAGUCACACUGGAACUGAGACACGGCCCAGACUCCUACGGGAGGCAGCAGUGGGGAAUUUUGGACAAUGGGCGCAAGCCUGAUCCAGCAAUGCCGCGUGCAGGAUGAAGGCCUU